rnacentral:rRNA from 1 species
GUCGAGGGGCAUCACGAGGUAGCAAUACUUUGGUGGCGACCGGCGCACGGGUGCGUAACGCGUAUGUAACCUACCUAUAACAGGGGCAUAACACUGAGAAAUUGGUACUAAUUCCCCAUAAUAUUCGGAGAGGCAUCUCUCCGGGUUGAAAACUCCGGUGGUUAUAGAUGGACAUGCGUUGUAUUAGCUAGUUGGUGAGGUAACGGCUCACCAAGGCAACGAUACAUAGGGGGACUGAGAGGUUAACCCCCCACACUGGUACUGAGACACGGACCAGACUCCUACGGGAGGCAGCAGUGAGGAAUAUUGGUCAAUGGACGCAAGUCUGAACCAGCCAUGCCGCGUGCAGGAAGACGGCUCUAUGAGUUGUAAACUGCUUUUGUACGAGGGUAAACUCACCUACGUGUAGGUGACUGAAAGUAUCGUACGAAUAAGGAUCGGCUAACUCCGUGCCAGCAGCCGCGGUAAUACGGAGGAUUCAAGCGUUAUCCGGAUUUAUUGGGUUUAAAGGGUGCGUAGGCGGUUUGAUAAGUUAGAGGUGAAAUCCCGGGGCUUAACUCCGGAACUGCCUCUAAUACUGUUAGACUAGAGAGUAGUUGCGGUAGGCGGAAUGUAUGGUGUAGCGGUGAAAUGCUUAGAGAUCAUACAGAACACCGAUUGCGAAGGCAGCUUACCAAACUAUAUCUGACGUUGAGGCAC